rnacentral:rRNA from 1 species
UUUCCCUACGGGGGGCAGCAGUGAGGAAUAUUGGUCAAUGGCCGAGAGGCUGAACCAGCCAAGUCGCGUGAGGGAAGAAUGUCCUAUGGAUUGUAAACCUCUUUUGUCAGGGAGCAAAGUCACCCACGUGUGGGUGUUGGAGAGUACCUGAAGAAAAAGCAUCGGCUAACUCCGUGCCAGCAGCCGCGGUAAUACGUAGGUGGCGAGCGUUAUCCGGAAUGAUUGGGCGUAAAGGGUGCGUAGGCGGCCUGCUAAGUCUGGAGUGAAAGGUACCGGCUCAACCGGUACAGGCUCUGGAAACUGGG